ACGGAAGGCAGCAGUAGGGAAUUUUCGGCAAUGGGGGGAACCCUGACCGAGCAACGCCGCGUGAGUGAAGACGGCCUUCGGGUUGUAAAGCUCUGUUGUAAGGGAAGAACUGAUAUGAGAGAAUCGUAUCUUGACGGUACCUUACCAGAAAGCCACGGCUAACUACGUGCCAGCAGCCGCGGUAAUACGUAGGUGGCGAGCGUUAUCCGGAAUUACUGGGCGUAAAGGGUGCGCAGGCGGUCUUUUAAGUUUAAGGUGAAAGCGUGGGGCUCAACCCCAUAUAGCCUUAAAUACUGGAAGACUAGAGUACUGGAGAGGGAAGUGGAAUUCCAUGUGUAGCGGUAAAAUGCGUAGAUAUAUGGAGGAACACCAGUGGCGAAGGCGGCUUCCUAGCCAGAGACUGACGCUCAUGCACGAAAGCGUGGGGAGCAAAUAGGAUUAGAUACCCUGGUA
rnacentral:rRNA from 2 species